UACAGAGGUCUCAAGCGUUGUUCGGAUUCAUUGGGCGUAAAGGGUGCGUAGGCGGCGCGGUAAGUCGGGUGUGAAAUCUUGGAGCUUAACUCCGAAACUGCAAUUCGAUACUGCCGUGCUUGAGGACUGGAGAGGAGACUGGAAUUUACGGUGUAAGCGGUGAAAUGCGUAGAUAAUCGUGAAGGAAGACCAGUGGCGAGGGCGGGUCGUCUGGACAGUUCCUGACGCUGAGGCACGAAGGCCAGGGGAGCAAACGGG
rnacentral:rRNA from 1 species